UACGGAGGGGGCUAGGGUUGUUCGGAAUUACUGGGCGUAAAGCGCGCGUAGGCGGACCUGCAAGUCGGGGGUGAAAGCCCGAGGCUCAACCUCGGAACUGCCUUCGAUACUGCGGGUCUCGAGUCCGGGAGAGGUGAGUGGAAUUCCUAGUGUAGAGGUGAAAUUCGUAGAUAUUAGGAAGAACACCAGUGGCGAAGGCGGCUCACUGGCCCGGUACUGACGCUGAGGCGCGAAAGCGUGGGGAGCAAACAGG
rnacentral:rRNA from 1 species